AAGACAAAACAACAAAAAAGGACUUUUCCCAGAUCUCAGGGAGCCAGGAAUAUGGAGCUAGUUAUCAACGAAAACUAAAUUAAAAAGUCCCAUUAGAAAACGGGCUUUUCCCCGAUGUUAGGGAGCCGAGAAUAUGGAGCUAGUUAUCUCCCGCAGGCUGGAGGACAAGUGUAGUGCCCACCCCGUCCCCGCAGAGAUUGUGCAGAGCCCUCAGGGUGUCUGGAAGCCCAAGAAGGCGGGGAACGCCGCACACUAGAGCCGCUUUUUUCUCCAUGGAGACGGCAUCGACGCAGCAAGAAAUGGCCGCAACGGUGGGACUUAGCAGGGAACAGGACCGGCCCGGGAGGACGCGAGGAAGGGUGGCUGCGGAGCCCCGAGGCAGCGGGCUCCCGUCUGCGGUCUUGGGCCCGCCAGGUGCGCAGCGGCGCGCGGUGCCCACCCAGCCCUCCCGCCAGCCUCACCUUACAUCUUUAUGGUCCCUUUGGGCCCCAGGUUGGUCCUCAGCACGUCCUGCAGACCCCGCGCACCGCUAAUGUUGAACGCCAGCGCCGCCUGCGCUCCGGCCACCUUGGCCUUGGGGUUCAGAGUCUUCGCCGCCGCCAUAGCUGCUCCAGAGGAAGAAAAGAAAGCGAUGCGGCACGCGGAGACCCCAGAGCCGGCGCGCCGUGGCCGGGAUGCACUAUCCGGAUCUUCCGGAAAAGUCGGCGCGCCCGGCCCGCCCCUAGCGUGCCCGCGCCGCCGCUAUUGGGCCACGAGCUGUCCAGCGCCCGCUCAUUGGUCCGCGGCUGCACGGUGCCGGCGGUCCCACCCCUCACCCCGCGGCCGCGACGCUAUAGCGCACUGGAGUAGCCUGUUCCUGGCAGUAAGUGCUUCUGGGUUCUGGCGUUGCUGCUCAGUGGGGCCCAAGUUUGCGGACCCGGGAUCUCAGGAUGCAGGCAGGGCUUGUGCCCCGCGCCGGACAGGGCGUAGGGGAAGGAACAGGAAGAGAAGAGUGUGGCCUCCUAGAAAUCUAGCACGGAGAAAGGAUGUUUGCUUCUGAGGAAGUUGGAAGCUGCAGCCACAAUGUGCCUUUGCAGGGGAGCCUGAGAGCCACAGGUAAGGACAACUGAGUUAGACAGGAGGGAUGAGGCCUAGGGGGAGGGCAGAGUGCAUCACAUUCCCCCACCCAGACCCACAGGCCACGGCAUCACAGCCCCAUGCAAGUCCCGACACCUGUCUCUCUGAUUGUGUGAUUCCCAGUUAUUCCCAUUCCCCUAACAGAUAAACCUCCCAAUGGGUUCAAUGCAUACACUUUUAUUAAAUCUCACUCUGUCACCCAGGCUGGAGGGCAGUGGUGUGAUCUCGGCUCACUGCAAGCUCCGCUUUACAGGUUCAGGCGAUUCUCUUCAGCCUCCUGAGUAGCUGGGACUACAGGCAUGCACCACCAGGCCUGGCUAAUUUUUUUGUAUUUUUAGCAGAAAUAGGGUUUCACCAUGUUGGUCAGGCUGAUCAUGAACUCCUGACCUCAAAUGACCCACCUGCCUCGGCCUCCCAAAGUGCUGGGAUCACCUGCCCACUCCCUUGGUGAGGAGCCCCCUAGGGCACCUCCACCUCCUGGAGCACAAAUGUUGUUGAGAUGAGCAGCUUGAGACAUGGUAUGGACCUAUGCGGAGGUGUCCCUAGACAAUGAUGGCAUCAGAGUGAGAGGCUGGAUGAGGAUGUGUCUGGGGGAGCUUCGAGGCGCUGUGAUGUGUAAGAGAUCAUUAAUUCCAGGAUGCCACCCCAAGGAGAAUAUGCAUGGACCAAAGAUGAGGGGUCCCCAGGAGGGUGAACCAAUAGUAAGGCCCCCAGAUUCCAUCCCUAGCCAGGCUCCCUGCUAAGUGGCAAUUAGAAAAAUUCCUCUUUACAGAAAACAGAGCAUCAAUCAGGUCCCCAAUCACAGAGCCAGUCCUCUACCCUCUAGUGAAAGCUUCCAGUGGACAAGAAAAGCUUGGGAAAGCCAG
ensembl:lincRNA